AUUGCAUAUCCAUGAAGCAGCACUUUAUUAGGUUAUAAUGUGUCUGAUAAGAGUAACAGUAGAAGACGGUAGAUGCAGGAGUUUCAUAAAUAAGACAGAUUCAGGCUCAGCUGACUAAACCGAGGAACAGAAUAUAAGACCAGGAAAAUAAAUCCUUCUUGUAUCGGAACAGAAAUUCACAUUUAAAGACCCUUUAAAAGACUUUCAGAAGCAAGCUACAUUUCACCAUCCACCACCUCAAAGUCAGCAGCUAAGUCCAGGCGAGGGUCUUGUAGAGUGUUCCUGUGUUUAUCAGAGUAUUUAUAACAAGAUGGUUAACACUGUGAUUGUCUGGAUUUUCACUGAGAACUGCUGAUACACUGACAUGAUGCUAGACGCUGAUGUGGGAGGAAAAACAGGUAGAGAGGGCUGUGAAUCAUGAACAGAGCGGGAGAGAAUCUACAACUCAGCAAGGGAGAAAGUCGGACUCAUUGAAUAUAAGUGAAUCCUCAAAACCAAACCUCUAAGUCUGCUGCCAUCCAAUAUCCCAUCUGAAAAACACUGUUCCUAUAUUUCCUUUUUAUUUCCGUGUCACUGAGAGUCCUGGCUGUUUUUUAAGAGUCUGUAUCACUAAGCAGGAUUGGCGGUUUGGGCAGCUGUCUUUGUGUUUCUUACUCUGGGUCUUGUGUGUCAUAAAACUUCCACGGGUCAAUUAAAGGGAAAAAAUACCAAGCACAACUUUAAAAUGACAAAAUUAAGAGUAGUAGAGACACUUGAUGGACAAUCCUUGAUCCUCGGUAUGGUAUGCUGAUGACAGGACUGUUCUGCUGCUUUUUCAGAUGAAGUAGGAGAUAACCUGGGGUACCUAAAGCAUCGAAGCUCCCGUGAGGAUUUUAUACAUGAUAAUAAAAGAGAGGGAAAUGAAUGCUGGUGACUUUUUACAAUCUAAAAAUAAACAAGACAGUCGGAGAGAAGAGGGAUCACUUUGUAAAGUUAUUUUACAUCUGUGCUAAGCAGCUUUUUUUACUGUUUCCAUGAGCUGCAAAUUUAGAAUAAAAAGAUUAUCAAAAUCACCAUCAGGUUUAGUCUAUUUCACAGUUUUAAUAGCUUUUUUAUCAUCUUAAAAGUGAGCUGUAUUCUUCACAUCAAAUCCAGAUAUGUGUUCUGCUGUGUUGUGGUAUUUGUUGGACUGAUAGAAGAUGCUCAGUUUAAUAAGGUAAUAAGUAGGCUGGCACGGGUCUUGGUGAUUAGUCAUGGCUGACAGAUCCACCAUUUUUCCAAUUAGACCCCCAAAGACAGACAGUGUGUUAUAAACUGGUACUUAAAUAUGUAUAUUUACGUAUGUGUACAAAAUCGGCAGAGAAGACUAUGACCAGGAGAGAGCCAAGAUCAGCACUACCAAAAAGAUCCUCACAGGAGCACAAAUAAACCAACAAUGGCGCCUCUUUUCCAACCCAGGAAAAUCCCAUGAAAGCCACUACAGAGCACAAAUACCCCACUCAAACCCAGGUGCUACUGAAAGCAAAGCCUAACUGGCAAACAUAUAUUUAAUGGCAAUGUUUUGAUGGCAAAAUGUUGCAAAUUUGAGUCUUUUUGAAAGUGAAACUUUGUAUGUUCGAUUAUUUUCCUCCAUUUUUCCUUUACACUCAUUUCUCUCUCACAAAAGAACGUCAUGACACAGAUUUUUUUCAUCUGCACUGUUAGACCAACAGCUGGCUGUAUGAGGUCCUACAUGGGCUGUUUGCAAAUGAUAACAAAUCCUUUGUAGGUCCUCACUUCUCAGACGGGACCAUUAAUCAUUAAUCUAAACUGUUUGGUCCAAAACUGCCUCAAGAAUCCCACACCUGUGCACUGUCACCUUAAAUAUACACUCACCGGCCGCUUUAUUAGGUACACCAUGCUAGUAACGGGUUGGACCCCCUUUUGCCUUCAGAACUGCCUCAAUUCUUCGUGGCAUAGAUUCAACAAGGUGCUGGAAGCAUUCCUCAGAGAGCUUGGUCCAUAUUGACAUGAUGGCAUCACACAGUUGCCGCAGAUUUGUCGGCAGCACAUCCAUGAUGCGAAUCUCCCGUUCCACCACAUCCCAAAGAUGCUCUAUUGGAUUGAGAUCUGGUGACUGUGGAGGCCAUUUGAGUACAGUGAGCUCAUUGUCAUGUUCAAGAAACCAGUCUGAGAUGAUUCCAGCUUUAUGACAUGGCGCAUUAUCCUGCUGAAAGUAGCCAUCAGAAGUUGGGUACAUUGUGGUCAUAAAGGGAUGGACAUGGUCAGCAACAAUACUCAGGUAGGCUGUGGCAUUGCAACGAUGCUCAAUUGGUACCAAGGGGCCCAAAGAGUGCCAAGAAAAUAUUCCCCACACCAUGACACCACCACCACCAGCCUGAACCGUUGAUACAAGGCAGGAUGGAUCCAUGCUUUCAUGUUGUUGACGCCAAAUUCUGACCCUACCAUCCGAAUGUCGCAGCAGAAAUCGAGACUCAUCAGACCAGGCAACGUUUUUCCAAUCUUCUAUUGUCCAAUUUCGAUGAGCUUGUGCAAAUUGUAGCCUCAGUUUCCUGUUCUUAGCUGAAAGGAGUGGCACCCGGCGUGGUCUUCUGCUGCUGUAGCCCAUCUGCCUCAAAGUUCGACAUACUGUGCGUUCAGAGAUGCUCUUCUGCCUACCUUGGUUGUAACGGGUGGUUAUUUGAGUCACUGUUGCCUUUCUAUCAGCUCGAACCAGUCUGGCCAUUCUCCUCUGACCUCUGGCAUCAACAAGGCAUUUCCGCCCACAGAACUGCCGCUCACUGGAUAUUUUUUCUUUUUCGGACCAUUCUCUGUAAACCCUAGAGAUGGUUGUGCGUGAAAAUCCCAGUAGAUCAGCAGUUUCUGAAAUACUCAGACCAGCCCUUCUGGCACCAACAACCAUGCCACGUUCAAAGUCACUCAAAUCACCUUUCUUCCCCAUACUGAUGCUCGGUUUGAACUGCAGGAGAUUGUCUUGACCAUGUCUACAUGCCUAAAUGCACUAAGUUGCCGCCAUGUGAUUGGCUGAUUAGAAAUUAAGUGUUAACGAGCAGUUGGACAGGUGUACCUAAUAAAGUGGCCGGUGAGUGUAUGUACCAUAUAUUACUGUUAAUCGGACUUUCAACGUUAUUGUAUUAUUGUUGAGUUAUUUUUAAUAUAUUUCAACUUUGCCGCCCAGUUAAAAAACUCAAUACUUUAGUUGUAUCUGAUGACUGUAUAUGUAACUGGAUGUAUUAAAACUCAGUUUCAAACAUCACCUCACUUGCAGGCUGGCGAGUAAACACUGCAAGUUGUUCACUGCUAAAAUACUCCCACAGAGAGUCAGACAAAAACUUGACUUUGUGAUACAGGACCGAGGAAUCUCAGCCUCUCACAACGUUUCAGGCAAACACAGAACAGAUGUGCGACAAAACAAAACCAACAAACCAGAGGGCGACUCUCUGAGCAACAUCUCCUGAGAAAGAAACUAGAGGAGCUUCUACAGAGACAGAGCGACAUCUACCAACAGACUUC